AAUAACAGAUAGUCCUUACUGCUAUUAGCCCAUAGAAACACAUAGUCCUUACUGCUAUGAGCCCAAAGAAACACAUUGAAUAACAGAUAGUCCUUACUGCUAUUAGCCCAUAGAAACACAUUGAAUAACAGAUAGUCCUUACUGCUAUUAGCCCAUAGAAACACAUUGAAUAACAGAUAGUCCUUACUGCUAUUAGCCCAUAGAAACACAUUGAAUAACAGAUAGUCCUUACUGCUAUUAGCCCAUAGAAACACAUUGAAUAACAGAUAGUCCUUACUGCUAUUAGCCCAUAGAAACACAUUGAAUAACAGAUAGUCCUUACUGCUAUUAGCCCAUAGAAACACAUUGAAUAACAGAUAGUCCUUACUGCUAUUAGCCCAUAGAAACACAUUGAAUAACAGAUAGUCCUUACUGCUAUUAGUCAAUAGAAACACAUUGAAUAACAGAUAGUCCUUACUGCUAUUAGCCCAUAGAAACACAUAGAAUAACAGAUAGUCCUUACUGCUAUUAGCCAAUAGAAACACAUUGAAUAACAGAUAGUCCUUACUGCUAUUAGCCAAUCGAAACACAUAGAACAACAGAUACAAAAGAAAAGGUUUGUUCUGAAGUGUUUGUCCUAUAUCUGAGAGAGAUAAGAAAGAUCAGAAAGCUAUUAUUAUUAUUUCUAAAUAUUUAUCCCCUUAUUUUAGCCACUAAACUAUCUCCAUGUGCAGUGUAUUCAGACCCUUUGACCUUUUCCACAUUUAGUUACGUUACAGACUUAUUCUAAAAUUAAUUUACAUUUUUUUUUUACAAAAAAAAAAUACUCAUCAAUCUACACGCAAUAUCUCACAAUGACAAAGCAAAGACAGGUUUUUACAAAUGUUUGCAAAUGUACUAAAAAUAAAAAAAACAGAAAUAAGUAUUCAGAGCCUUUGCUAUGAGACUCACAAUUGAGCUCAGGUGCAUCCUGUUUCCAUUGAUCAUCCUUGAGAUGUUUCUACAACUUGAUUGGAGUCCACCUGUGGUAAAUUCAAAUUGAUUGGACAUGAUUUGGAAAGGAACACACCUGUCGAAAUAAGGUCCCACAGUUGACAGUGCAUGUCAGAGCAAAAACCAAGCAAUUGUCCGUAGAGCUCAGAGACAGUGUAGUGUCAAGGCACAGAUCUGGAGAAGAGUAGCAAAACCAUUUCUGCAGCAUUGAAGGUUCCCAAGAACACAGUGGUCUCCUUUAAUGGAAGAACUUAGGAAACACCACAGGUUCAAGUCUGAGCAUCCAAGGACAAUCAGAGACUUGAGCUGCAUCUGUGGUCCAGAGACGGCAGUGUACACAACACCGUUGUCCUGUUUAUAUCUAUGUCUUCUUCGCUGUCUUGUCCCUCAGUGCCCAGGUCAAGGUGUUCGUAACAGGACUGUUCAGUCUUAACCAGGAUAUUGCAGCCUUCAAGGAACACCUGAGGGACUUCCUGGUACAGAUUAAGGAGUUUGCAGGGGAGGACACCACAGACCUGUUCCUAGAGGAGCGGGAGGCGUCGCUGCGUCAGGCGCAGGAGGAGAAACACAAGCUGCAGAUGUCCGUUCCCGGUAUCCUCAACCCACACGAAAUACCGGAGGAGAUGUGUGACUGAGACGUCCAGCCACUGCGCCACAUGAACCAAACUGCUGUUACUGUACAUACAGGCAUACCAACAAACACACAAAACUAACCCAAACAGGAGGAAAGAAGAGAGGUGGGAGGCCCCCGGUCACUUUGCAGAGGUACGGAGAGAGCAGACACGCCCGUCCUCAUCCGUCAGGUGUUUUUGUCCACCGAAAACCAUGUCAAUAUGUAAAUGACGACGUGCUGCGUCCCCCCCGUGGCCCGUUACACCUACAUUUUAUAUGGAGACUUCUGUGUACUGUUUCCACUGUUUAUUUGGUCAGGGGUCAGGGGUCACGGGUCCCCCCCCCCCCGCUGCAUGACAUGAAGCAGACGUAUGGCAAGACUUCUGAACUUCACUUGUUUCCUCUCCUCCACAUGUUAUCACACACACACACACACACACACACACACAUAUAUAUACAUAGUGAGACAGGAGAGUUUUUGUGCAACAAGGCAUAUGUGUCAAAAAGUUCUCAGCAAAGAGGCUUCUAGAACUAUGAUGUGACAGACGGGAAGGAAUGAAGUGGUGUUCUAGAAGUGUGUGUCUGAUUCCCAACCCAAUGCAUUGUGGUUAGAAUGUGAAGCUAGCGGAUUAUGAAGGAAGGAAGUCAGAGAUGCUGCUGCUUUGUGUGUCAGGUGGUCAUGCUAGCGGCCGUGCUCAUUGGUUGAACCUCCGCCCAACUGAAAGAAACCUACUGCGUUUGGUCGCCUGGCUGUGACUGGAGGCGGGAACUAGGAAGACAGGAAGGAGCAUCAUCGGCGCAAGACAGUCAGAUUAUGUGCAUAUCAUCCCCAUUCUAUAGCACAUGAAUUACCAUGGGAACAUCAUUAUUAUUUAGUGUAUUUUUUUGUGGGUGUGUAGAGUGCGUGUGCUGUUGCCUAGACGACAUGGGCGUUUAGUUUUCCUCUGUGAGGAUCGUCGCUCCAUGUUGAGCUCUUCAUUAAAAUGGACUUUUAACAGAAAGAAGAAGCGGUUAUUGACAUGUUAUUUAUGGGUUCAAAAUGGCUGCAUCUUUAUAUAACAAACUCCCGUUUAACUUCUGUCAGUCGGCUUUUGAGAUUCUGAAUUGGAACUAAUUGACAUUUGUUUACCAUGCGAGUAGUGCUUCAACAACACUACCUAGAAGACAAGCAAAAAAUAAACAACUCGGUUUACAUUUCAUUUUGUAUUUUUGCAUUGUUCAUUUGGAUCUUUAUAACAUGUCUUCUAUCCAAAAUAAAACAAAAGGCUUUUUAUUCCAGAGUGAAAUAAUUAGUUGCCAAUAGUUUGAUUAAGCAACAAAUGUAUAAUUCCUAAUCCAAACUCAAUCUGUAAAUAGCAAAUAGUUCCCCUUCUCUACUCGUUACAGUUGUUGUGAAACCUUUUGAACUGAUUAAAGUUGAGGAUUUUAUAA